AUCUUUGCGCUUGGGGCAAUGACGCAGCUAGUGAGGUAAUACCGAGGCGCGUCAAUUGCUGGCUGAAAACUAUUUCCAAACUAUCUCCGGAGCCACUGAGAAUUUCUGAAAGGGCUCCCUCUCCUUCGGGACUGGGUAAAGCC
rnacentral:snRNA from 1 species